GGUCUCACCUCGGGGUGCUCUGUCAGGGGCUGAGAUGCGUUUUCGCAAACCCGUUGAACCUGAACCGGUUAAGACCGGCGGAGGGAAGGUAUCCGGGCACUCU
rnacentral:ncRNA from 2 species